UAAACCCUUCACAAAGUUCAUGGCGCUGUCUUCCGCCCGGACCUGUCCGCAGUGGUUCCCCCGGAGACGAGCAGCACUGAACGCACACAAGACUGCAGGAGACCCGCGGCCCCAUCCAGCUCCGUACACGGCGACUCCAUCCUUUGGUCACUCAGGCCAAACCUCGAAGUCAUCGUGGAUCCGUCUCACUCACAUCCUACACGCAUCCCUUCGACGAGUCCUUCCAGCGUCAGCGCCAGAAGGUGUGGAGAGCCGGCAGCUUCCCCUGCACAGCAGCCCCACGCCGCCCACCCGCGCCCCUGCCCCGGCUCAUCGCGAGGCUCCCAGGGCUCUCCCCGCCUCCACGCCAGCCGCCCAUACACUAUUUUCCGCGCAGUAGAACAUAAAUCCAGCACAUCCCUCCUCUGCUCAGAACCCUCAGUGACACGCCGUCUCCCGGAGGACCGGAUCCCCGCGAUGGCCGCUCGGCGGCGCCCUCGGCUGCGCCCGUCCGCAGACGCCGCACGGCUCCCCUCAGGCUCUCCGAGAGAAGAUAUCUGCCCGUCUUUUUUUAAAAAAAGGAAAAGAAGGGAAAACAUCUUCAAAUGUUAUUUCCUCAGCAAAGCCUUCCCUGCCCGAGACGGAGGAGCGCCUCCCCGCCGCGGCGGCUCUUCCCGCGGCCGCCGCGGGCCUUCGCUGCUUCACGUGGGCUUUUCUCUCUUUCCGCUGGACCGUGAGCGCGCCGAGCGGUUUCAUUUCUCCCUCCGCCGCCGUGUGCCCGUGGCCCACACCAACGUGGGGCCUCAUUUCUUUUGAACAGAGCAAAAAUGGCCCCGGAAAGCCCCCGAAGCCCUGCGGGAAGCGCCGCCCGAGGUGCCGCCGGGCCUGCUGGCUCCUCGGCCUGCGCGUUUGCGUGGCGUUCCCUCCUCGGGGAACUGUGGGGCCUAAUCCCGCCCGCCCUGUUCCUGCCACAGUGCCUGUUUCUUCCCUUACGGUCUUUUGGAAUUAGCAGUGUAUACUGUAUUGUUCUGCUUACAUUUUAAUGCCUGUCGUCCCGCUGGAAGGCGGCCCGGGGGCCGGCGCAGGAAGCUCUCAGUGACCCCGAGGGGACCGCCGAGGACCGCGUGCGGAGGCGCUGGGAAGGCGGAAACCGCCGUUUGACGCGAACAAAGGAAAAUCUGGCUGUAGACGCUUCCAGCUUCUUAAGAAGUGACAUUUCUUAGGAAGGGAGAAUAGACCUUUCUCCUGCUACCUUCCAGCUCACGGAGACUGGUGUGCCAAAGAGUUUGAUCUUGUUCAAAGAAAAAUGAAUUUCCCAGCCUCUGAGGGGACCCUGUGCCGCUCACGGGCAGACGUCCUGAGACAACGGCCCUUUGUUCAGAGGAGAGCCUUAAUGAGGGCUGCCACCCCGGAGUAAAGCAGACUGGGCGCCUUAAUCAACCGAGAUCUACUUUCUCACCGUUGGAGAGGUGAAUGGCUCAAUUUUGCCUUGAGCGGACACUGCCUAGGAGCGGGCCACUCAGAGAACUUUUUGCCUGUAGAGUGCGGAGAGCAAACCCAGCAGAGGUGAAAGGCUCUUCUUUCGAGGAACUGCCCCUAACUCCAACUGCUGAAAGGAUGGGCACACCUCUAACGCCCAGAUUUCUUCUUUUAAAAUCCUUAGAGCUUUCUAAACGCUCACCAUGGUCACUUAGGG
rnacentral:lncRNA from 1 species